GGAAAUUUGCCUCCUGGAUUUGAUUCAAGUACUUGCCGCAGUGUGUACGUUGGAAACAUCCACCCCCAAGUAACGGAACCACUUCUUCAAGAGGUCUUCUCAAGUACUGGCCCCCUUGAGGGAUGCAAGCUCAUUAAAAAAGAGAAGUCGUCGUAUGGUUUUGUCGACUACUUUGAUCGCCGAUCAGCAGCCCUUGCUAUUGUGACUCUUAAUGGAAGAAAUUUGUUUGGACAGCCUAUAAAAGUUAACUGGGCAUAUACUAGUGCUCAGAGAGAGGAUACCUCAAGCCACUUUAACAUUUUUGUGGGUGAUCUCAGUCCAGAGGUUACAGAUGCCACAUUGUAUGCAUGCUUUUCAGUCUACCCUAGCUGCUCAGAUGCAAAGGUUAUGUGGGAUCAAAAAUCAGGCCGUUCAAGGGGAUUUGGAUUUGUUUCCUUCCGUAAUCAGCAGGAGGCGCAAAGUGCAAUAAAUGAGUUGACUGGGAAGUGGUUAGGAAGCAGACAAAUCCGCUGCAACUGGGCAACAAAAGGCGCUGGAGGAAUUGAUGAAAAGCAGAAUUCAGAUGCGAAAAGUGUUGUUGAGUUGACAAGUGGAACAUCAGAUGAUGGUCAUGACAAGGCCAAUGAAGAUGCUCCAGAAAAUAGUCCCCAGUAUACAACUGUUUAUGUUGGCAACCUUUCUCCUGAAGUCACUUUAGUUGACCUCCAUCGUCAUUUUCAUGCUCUUGGAGCUGGCGUUAUUGAAGAUGUCCGUAUUCAACGGGACAAAGGUUUUGGGUUUGUGAGAUACAGUACCAAUGCUGAAGCUGCUCAAGCUAUUCAGUUGGGAAAUGCCCAAUUCUUCUUUGGUAAACCUAUUAAGUGCUCAUGGGGAAGCAAGCCUACUCUGCCAGGAGCAAGUUCUACCCCUCUUCCUCCUCCAGCUGUGGGACACAUUCCUGGUAUUUCAGUGACUGAUAUUGCAGCCUAUGAGCGGCAGCUUGCUUUGGCUAGGAUGGGCGGUUCACAGGCUCUCAUGCAUUCUCAGGCUCUAAUGCAUUCCCAGGGUCAGCGAAUUGGCGUUGCUAGUCAAGCAAUUUACGAUGGUGGUUAUGGUAGUAUUGCUGCUACAACUCAACCACCAAUGUACUACUAGUGCAUAACAACACCUGCUGCUUCUGCUCUCCCGGCUUUGUUUUAUAGGAUGCUUUUUCUCGUUAGUUUUUCGUGUCCGAAGCAUAUGUAUGAAUAUGUAGCUUGUAUUUUGUGUGGCAGCUAGUCCGAUGGCAGUUCACUUGGAUGAGCAGCUUCAGGAGAUGUUAGAAUGUUUCAUGAACUGAAAUGUUUUUAAAGGACUUAUCGCACAGUGAAUCAUUCUGCAUAUAUGC
rnacentral:misc_RNA from 1 species